rnacentral:rRNA from 1 species
GACGAACCGUGCGAACGUUAUUCGGAAUCACUGGGCUUAAAGCGCGUGUAGGCGGGCCGCCGCGUCGGCUGCUGAAAUCCCCCGGCUCAACCGGGGAACGGGCGCGGAUACGACCUUCCUCGAGGGGCGUAGGGGGACCUGGAACUUCCGGUGGAGCGGUGAAAUGCGUUGAGAUCGGAAGGAACGCCCGUGGCGAAAGCGAGGUCCUGGACGCCUACUGACGCUGAGACGCGAAAGCCAGGGGAGCGAACGGG